GAGUUGCUUCGACGAAGUCACACACCCACGGAGGGAAGUAAUCUGGAGGCUGCCUUGCAAGUCUCAAGGUGACAAUAGUCCUCAGGCAGACAAGAAGGAAUAAGGGUUUGAGAUGAAUGGCUACAGCUGAGAGUAUGCUGGAAAUAAGAAGAUAAAAGAACAAGGCCAACAUCACAAUGAGGAAACAAUCACACAUAUUCAAAAUGUUGGACAUUCUCCAAGAUAACCAGGGUGGAAUAAUCAAUGUCAUUUGAAAAAAUGAGCAGACUAUUUCAUAUCAGAAAAAGACUAUGAAAGAAUAAAGGAAUAUCAUAGCUGUGGUGCUGAGAACAUAACCUACUCCCAUUGGUUUCCAACAACUGAGACCUUGAACAGUGACUUCUUAGCUGUAAAUCCCAGAAUCUUCUGUUUCAAAUCAAUUCUUCAGGAAAAAGAGGACAAAAUAUAAACCCAAGUGGAGAGAGUACUAAAAGACACAAGAUUUUUUUUUAGAGAAUUUAUCAAUCUAAUAUGAGCAAUUAAUUAUUUAUGAUGGUUCCUAUGUUUCACAGAGAAGUUGAAGAAAUAAGAUUAGAACCAUCUUAUGGGCUCUGGGUAAGGCUCUGCAAUCUUUCACCAUUUUUGCUUUAUUUAUUAUACCAAGUAGCAUGACAGAUGUUUGCAAUUUGACUUGAACAUUUUCAUUGUCUUUGCUUUUUUUGUUUCUUUCUUUUUAAAAAUCCAUGGUUUUUUAAUUUCCUUUUCAAUAUUUGCAUCCUUUUAUGGAAUAUAAGAGACCACUUAUAUGCACAAGAGUUAUCUCUUGUGGGUCUCACUAUUAUUAUCAUCAAAAUGCCUGAAAUUACCUGUGAGGGAACAUUAUAAAGUAAAUGAUAAAGAAAUAAUUUAAUGUUACACAUUAGGUAACCUCUAGGAAUAUAUGCUGGAACCAUAGGAAGACAUUGGGCAGGAAGAACAAUAAAAAUAUUUGGAUUGGAAGUAAAAAUGCUAAUCUACUUGUCAGAAAGGUCAUGUCUACAGUCAACAACUGUUCAAAUAGAAGCUUUAAAGCGAGGCUCAGCACACUUUUCUGUAGAGCCAGACAACAAAUAUCUCCGGCUUUGUGGUCCAUAUGGUCGACACUGCAACUACUAGAGUCUGCCAUUGUAGCACGCAAACAGCCAUAGACCAUAUGUGAAUGAAUGGUGUGGCUGUGUUCCAAAAGCCUUAUUUACAAAAACAAGGGAAGUGUUAGACUUCUUCAGAUCUUGGUGUGCUAGUCCUUGCUUUACACAACUAAGAUGAGUGUGAACUAUAUUUCAAAUAGAAGUGAGAGCCCCAAAGGUGGGCAAACCAUUAUAGUAAGAUGGUCAAGUUGCCUAGGCAGGGGCAAUUUAGACAUCUAGACAUCAUAAUUUUGAGUGAGCUAUCAAUUUAUUCAGGCAGGUUUUCUAAGUCUUAGAUUAAAGGGGUAGGUUGGAAUUUAGGGUUAGAUUCUACCUCACUGAGACAAAAUGAUACAAAUAAAAAGUUCAUGACAAGGAUAGAUAAAGACCGUGAACUUACUAGAACAUACUAAGUACAGCUGCUCAUAGCAACAAGGUUUAUUUCAGAUCUUACCUGUUGCUAGCACCAUAUAUUACUCUAACAUGCUUGCUCAAUUUGCUGUCCCAUGGAAAAAAUAAUUGGUUGAGAACUAGUCAGAAGAGUCUUUGUAACUACUUUAAGGACAAAAGUAAUGUUGCUGUUGUGUCCUCAAUAUAUAUAUACAAUAGUGCCUGGAACACAAUAGACAUUUAGUGAUCAUUCCUUGUGUACCUAGAACUUGAUACCUAUUAAAUAUUUUUCUAGUAGAAGUUUGUAAAUUAAUACUACAGGAUUUUUAGCAUUUAUUCUUUUAUAAUAUUAUAUAUAAAAUUUUACUGAUAGACAAUGUCUUCCAGUUCUUUAUACUAUCCUUUGCCACUUUAAUUCAAAAGCAUAUUAAAUUAUAUUUUAUAUUAAAAAUUUAAUUCUAAGAGUAAGAAUUACAGUUAUAAAAAUAUCCCAGGUGAUCAAAGAUAUGGAGCUAUUGCCUAAUGACAGACAUUAUAGUAUAGUGGUGAAUACAGAAAUUUAAUUUUUCAUCUCCUCCUGUCACUCCCUCUUAAGACAUUUUAGGGUCACCCUCCAUGAGGUAGCAGAUUCAUUAGCUUCUACUUUAAAUCCUGCCUCAGAGUAGAAAUCAGUCAGCUCUGUUGAGGGAAUUCCUGAGCAGAAAAAAAUAUCUUUCUAGGACAUUAGAGAGCAAUUGAGUAUUUAAAGAGUCAUUCAAAGAAGAACCUUCAGUAAGCAUUAGAGUAAGCAACUUUACCUAUAUUUUUUAAAAAGGAGAGCUGAGUCAACUCAGGCAAAAGAAAUUGAAUAUGUCAUUUUAAAGAGUCUCAAUAUAACAGAAAUGAAAUGUGUCACUAAUCCACCUUGCCAGCUUAUACAGCUUUUGAGAGUGAAAGACUCUUAGUAAUGACAUUGAUUAUUAUUAAAUGUUAGUAGCUCAGUGUUGUAGAGAAUAUAAACAGCAGUAUUUAUAGACUCUUGGUAAAAUGUAUUUUAACUUUUUAAAGACAUUGCAGAGUUGGCUAUCUUCUCUAACACAACAUAUUGUAGAAUUGUCAUUUAAUAUUUCGUAGAACUAGCUAGAGCAACUAUUCUUUCUUAAGUGGCACAUGUUCAUUUUCUGUAUUUUCCUCAUCUUUACCACCUGCUAGCAGUGUUUCAGGCAACAAAACAGCAGUGUUCUCACCAGACAGUAUAGCCUCCUCCAAAAUGGUAGCAAUCCCAAAGAUUCACAAUAAAACAAAACCUUUAAGACUAUGAUAAAUGGUUUUUAUUUCUUUUUUAAAAACAGUUCUUCCUUUAUUCUUUAAUCUUUAAACACUGAGUUGAAAUGGAUGAUUGAAAAUAUUAUUUGGGGUAUAUUGUUGUACACAUAAGAGAGUAAAUUUUAAGAGCUGAAUUAAAUUUCUCACUCUACCUUUUCUUUCAGUUUAUUUUUAAAUAUAUAUAUUUGUAGAAGCAGUUAUCUGCCAUCCGGAAAUUAAUUCUCAUUUUCUUGGAUUAUUUUAUGGUGACUACUUUCUAAGUAUUUUAUCCUUUAGUGAACAAAUGGUCUUUCUUUCCAGUUAGAAGGUGAUCCUCAAUAAUUAUGUUCUUUUCUUUAACCAAAACCUUGUUUCAAUUAUGACAUUUUGUUGAUAUGUAAAAAUUCUGAAGAAAUAAAAGCAAAAAAUAUUGAAUAAUAAUUUUGUUUAAACAACAUAUUUAGAAUAUUGAAUGACCCUGUUUAAACAAUAUAUUUAGAAUGUCUUAUUGGUAGAAAAUGUCUUCAUG
rnacentral:lncRNA from 10 species